CCUACGGGAUGCAGCAGUGGGGAAUAUUGCACAAUGGGGGAAACACUGAUGCAGCGACGCCGCGUGAGUGAAGAAGUAAUUCGUUACGUAAAGCUCUAUCAGCAGAGAAGAAAAUGACGGUAACGGAGUAAGAAGCCCCGGCUAACUAAGUGCCAGCAGCCGUGGUAAUACGUAGGGGGCAAGCGUUAGCCGGAUUUACUGGGUGUAAAGGGAGCGUAGACGGUGCGCCAAGUCUGGAGUGAAAUGCCGGAGCUUAACUGCGGAACUGCUUUGGAAACUGGCGAACUAGGGGGCUGGAGGGGUAAGCGGAAUUCCUAGUGUAGCGGUGAAAUGCGUAGAUAUUAGGAGGAACACCGGUGGCGAAGGCGGCUUACUGGACCGUAACUGACGUUGAGGCUCGAAAGCGUGGGGAGCAAACAGGAUUAGAUACCCUAGUAGUC
rnacentral:rRNA from 1 species